AUGCCGUCCUGCGUUGCCUUCACCGAGGCUUGGAGGCUCAUAGGCGACGCGGCUGUGAACCAGGCCGCCAUGAACCCCGUCAACACCGUCUUUGAUGUGAAGCGCCUUAUUGGCCGGAAAUUCAGCGACAAGUCAGUGCAGGGAGAUAUCAAGAUGUGGCCUUUCAAAGUUGUCUCAGGUCCUAGUGACCGGCCGAUGAUCGUGGUGCAGUACAGGAAUGAGGAGAAGCAGUUUGAGGCCGAGGAGAUCUCAGCCAUGUUGCUUGGCAAGAUUCGGGAGACAGCUGAGGCCUACCUCGGUAGGAAGGUGCAGAAUGCGGUGAUUACUGUCCCGGUCUACUUCAACGACUCCCAGCGCCAAGCCACCAUUGACGCCGGGGCCAUCGCUGGCCUCAACGUGAUGCGCAUCAUCAACGAGCCCUCCGCUGCAGCCAUCGCCUAUGGCUUUGGCAAGAUGUCCGACAGCGAUAAAGUGGAGACUGUUCUCGUGUUUGAUCUUGGUGGCGGAACCUUGGAUGUCUCCAUUGUCAAAGUUGAUCCGGGUGCCGACAUUGACAUGGGCGUCUUUGAGUUGAGGUCAAGUCUACGUCUGGUAACACCCACCUUGGCGGGGAGGAUUUCAACAACCUCAUGGUGA
rnacentral:rRNA from 1 species